rnacentral:rRNA from 2 species
ACGCAUUAAGCACUUCCGCCUGGGGAAUACGGUCGCAAGACUGAAACUCAAAGGAAUUGACGGGGGCCCGCACAAGCGGUGGAACAUGUGGUUUAAUUUCGAAGCAACGCGAAGAAACCUUACCAGGUCUUUGACAUUCCUUCUGAACAACUUCUAGAGAUAGAGCGUUCCCCUUCGGGGGACAGAAUGACAGGUGGUGCAUGGUUGUCGUCAGCUCGUGUCGUGAGAUGUUGGGUUAAGUCCCGCAACGAGCGCAACCCUUGAUCUUAGUUGCCAGCAUUUAGUUGGGCACUCUAAGGUGACUGCCGGUGACAAACCGGAGGAAAGUGGGGAUGACGUCAAAUCAUCAUGCCCCUUAUGACCUGGGCUACACACGUGCUACAAUGGAUGGUACAAAGGGCUGCAAGACCGCGAGGUCAAGCCAAUCCCAUAAAACCAUUCUCAGUUCGGAUUGUAGGCUGCAACUCGCCUACAUGA